ACUAAUCAUCAGGGAAAUGGAAAUCAAAGCCAUAAUGGGUUACCACCUCACUGCUGUUUGAAUGGCUAUUAUCAGAAAGACAAGAACUAGCAUGUAGA